rnacentral:rRNA from 1 species
AGGAAUAUUGCACAACGGGGGCAACCCUGAUGCAGCAAUGCCGCGUGAGCGAAGAAGGCCUUCGGGUUGUAAAGCUCUUUUCUGGGUGAAGAGCGAGGACGGUAGCCCAGGAAGAAGUCCCGGCUAACAGGGUGCCAGCAGCCGCGGUAAUACCUUGGGGACGAGCGUUAUCCGGAAUCAUUGGGCGUAAAGCGCAUGUAGGCGGUUUGACAAGUUGGUUGUGAAAGCUCAGGGCUUAACUGUGAGAGGCCAGCCAAGACUGUCAGACUUGAGCGGGGUAGAGGAGAGCGGAAUUCCCGGUGUAGUGGUGGAAUGCGUAGAGAUCGGGAGGAACACCAGUGGCGAAAGCGGCUCUCUGGACCUUGACUGACGCUGAGAUGCGAAAGCGUGGGGAGCGAAC